UACUACGGCCAUGUUUCCCUGAACAAGCCCGAUCCCGUCUGAUCUCGGAAGCUAAGCUGGGUUGGGCCUGGUUAAUAUUUGGAUUGAAGACCACCUAGGAAGACUAGGUGCUGUAGGCG
rnacentral:rRNA from 1 species